AUCACCUGGAGACUUUGUUAAAAUACACAUUCUAAUUCUUUAAUCUGGGAUGGAAUCUGAGAUUCUGCAUUUCUAACAAGCUCCAAAGUGAUGCUGA
rnacentral:pre_miRNA from 1 species